rnacentral:rRNA from 1 species
CAGGUAGGCUGUUUUACAAGUCCGGCGUGAAAUCCCAGGGCUCAACCCUGGAACUGCGUUGGAAACUGUAUGACUUGAGUAUCGGAGAGGUGAGGGGAAUUCUCGGUGUAAGGGUGAAAUCUGUAGAUAUCGAGAGGAACACCAGUGGCGAAGGCGCCUCACUGGCCGGUUACCGACGCUGAGCUGCGAAAGCAAGGGGAAGCAAACA